rnacentral:rRNA from 1 species
GAUGAACGCUGGCGGUAUGCCUAACACAUGCAAGUCGUACGAGAGUUUUUAACUCUAGUGGCGGACGGGUGAGUAACACGUGAGAAUUUGCCUUUAGGAGGGGGACAACAAUUGGAAACGAAUGCUAAUACCCCAUAUGCUUUCGAGUGAAAUGGAUUUUAUCCGCCUAGAGAGAAGCUCGCGGCCUAUCAGCUUGUUGGUGAGGUAAUGGCUCACCAAGGCGACGACGGGUAGCCGGCCUGAGAGGGCGACCGGCCACACUGGGACUGAGACACGGCCCAGACUCCUACGGGAGGCAGCAGUGGGGAAUAUUGGGCAAUGGAGGAAACUCUGACCCAGCGACGCCGCGUGCGGGAUGAAGGCCUCGGUGUAACGCUUUCAGCAGGGAAGAAGCGAAAGUGACGGUACCUGCAGAAGAAGCACCGGCUAACUAUGUGCCAGCAG